AGCGGCGGACGGGUGAGUAACGCGUGGGUAACCUGCCUCAUACAGGGGGAUAACAGUUGGAAACGGCUGCUAAUACCGCAUAAGCGCACAGUACCGCAUGGUACGGUGUGAAAAGCUCCGGUGGUAUGAGAUGGACCCGCGUCUGAUUAGGUAGUUGGUGGGGUAACGGCCUACCAAGCCGACGAUCAGUAGCCGACCUGAGAGGGUGACCGGCCACAUUGGGACUGAGACACGGCCCAA
rnacentral:rRNA from 1 species